rnacentral:rRNA from 1 species
GAGUUUGAUCAUGGCUCAGGAUGAACGCUGGCGGCGUGCCUAAUACAUGCAAGUCGAGCGAACUGAUUAGAAGCUUGCUUCUAUGACGUUAGCGGCGGACGGGUGAGUAACACGUGGGCAACCUGCCUGUAAGACUGGGAUAACUUCGGGAAACCGAAGCUAAUACCGGAUAGGAUCUUCUCCUUCAUGGGAGAUGAUUGAAAGAUGGUUUCGGCUAUCACUUACAGAUGGGCCCGCGGUGCAUUAGCUAGUUGGUGAGGUAACGGCUCACCAAGGCAACGAUGCAUAGCCGACCUGAGAGGGUGAUCGGCCACACUGGGACUGAGACACGGCCCAGACUCCUACGGGAGGCAGCAGUAGGGAAUCUUCCGCAAUGGACGAAAGUCUGACGGAGCAACGCCGCGUGAGUGAUGAAGGCUUUCGGGUCGUAAAACUCUGUUGUUAGGGAAGAACAAGUACGAGAGUAACUGCUNGUACCUUGACGGUACCUAACCAGA